rnacentral:rRNA from 1 species
AGGACGAACGCUGGCGGCGCGCUUAACACAUGCAAGUCGAGCGGAAAGGCCCUUCGGGGUACUCGAGCGGCGAACGGGUGAGUAACACGUGAGUAAUCUGCCCCUAGCUCUGGGAUAGCUCCGGGAAACCGGGAUUAAUACCGGAUACGACCACCUUAGACAUCUUUUGUGGUGGAAAGAAUUUCGGCUAGGGAUGAGCUCGCGGCCUAUCAGCUUGUUGGUGGGGUAACGGCCUACCAAGGCGACGACGGGUAGCCGGCCUGAGAGGGCGACCGGCCAACGACGUGGGACUGAGACACGGCCCAGACUCCUACGGGAGGCAGCAGUGGGAAUAUUGCGCAAUGGGCGAAAGCCUGACGCAGCGACGCCGCGUGGGGGAUGAAGGCCUUCGGGUUGUAAACCCUUUCAGCAGGGACGAAGCGAAAGUGACGGUACCUGCAGAAGAAGCGCCGGCUAACUACGUGCCAGCAGCCGC